rnacentral:rRNA from 1 species
CACCCACUUGAUGGGGUAAGGCUCCCAGUAGACGACUGGGUUGAUAGGCCGGAUCUGGAAGCCAGGUAACUGGUGGAGGUGACCGGUACUAAUAGGCCGAGGGCUUGUCCUCAGUUG